GCAGGGCAUGGUGGCUCAUGCCUGUAAUCCCAGCAGCUCAAGAGGCUGAGGCAGGAGAAUUGCAAGUUCUAAGCCAGCCUCAGCAACUUGGCAAGGCCCUAAGAAACUCAGAGAGACUCUGUCUCUA
rnacentral:sRNA from 1 species